CAGUCGCCGCGGGAAAACGUAGGUGGCGAGCGUUGUCCGGAUUUAUUGGGCGUAAAGGGAGUGUAGGCGGUCUUUUAAGUCUGAUGUGAAAGCCCACGGCUCAACCGUGGAGGGUCAUUGGAAACUGGGAGACUUGAGUGCAGAAGAGGAGAGCGGAAUUCCAUGUGUAGCGGUGAAAUGCGUAGAUAUAUGGAGGAACACCAGUGGCGAAGGCGGCUCUCUGGUCUGUAACUGACGCUGAGGCUCGAAAGCGUGGGGAGCAAACAGGAUUAGAGACCCCCGUAGUCCCUGUCUCUUAUAC
rnacentral:rRNA from 1 species